GUGUGUGUUCAAAACAAGAGUGUCUGUCUCAGAACCUGAAGAAAAGAGGCCACACCUUAUAGGAAAUAAACGCCUCCUAAGUGUACGGAAAUACCUGGCUGAGGAGAUCAGUGACAUAAACCAGAUAAAACUGUCAGUGGUCUGAGACAGCUACAAUGAAGCCACAAAAACAGUUCAUAGUUUCCUGUAUUUCUAUAAUGCAUUAAUGAAUAACAAUAAUUAAAAUAAAAUUUAAUGUCAAGGUUUUGUGUUAAUUCCAGCUAUGUUGAGUAUUCUGUGAAUAAUUUUGAUUUUAGGUGCAUAUUCUUAAUUCUUUGCAAAACAACCUGAACUGUUUGCUAUUGAAAGGUUGGUAUGUAGUUUAAAUAAAUAAAAAAUUAUAUUCUUGACAAAA